GAUCCCUGUUUAUCACCAGAAAUGUCUGCUGGAACUGACAAGGACUGUACCAGCGGAAAGGAUGGGGCCCAGACUAGGAAGAAGUCUAGUCUGUGAAAGAAACUUAGUGGAACAUCUCUGGGGGUG